AACGAUGAAGGCCUUUUUGGUUGUAAAGUUCUUUUACGAGGGAUAAUUAUGAUAGUACUUCGUGAAUAAGUGACAGCAAACUAUGUGCCAGCAGCUGCGGUAAUACAUAGGUCGCGAGCAUUAUUCGGAUUUAUUGGGCGUAAAGCAAGCGCAGGCGGAUGUGUAAGUUCUGUGUUAAAUGCAGCUACUCAAUAGUUGUAUGCACCGAAUACUACAUGUCUAGAUUGUGGUAGGGAGUUUCGGAAUUAAGCAUGGAGCGGUGGAAUGUGUAGAUAUGCUUAAGAACACCAGAGGCGAAGGCGGAAACUUAGGCCAUAAAUGACGCUUAGGCUUGAAAGUGUGGGGAGCAAAUGGGAUUAGAUACCCCAGUAGUCCACACCGUAAACGAUGGGUAUUAGAUAUUAGGGCUUUAGCUUUAGUGUUGUAGCUUACGCGUUAAAUACCCCGCCUGGGUAGUACAUAUGCAAAUAUGAAACUCAAAGGAAUUGACGGGGACCUGAACAAGUGGUGGAGCAUGUUGCUUAAUUCGAUAAUACACGAAAAACCUUACCAAGGUUUGACAUCCCUCGCAAAGCUAUAG
rnacentral:rRNA from 1 species